rnacentral:lncRNA from 1 species
UACACACCUGCUUUCUCCUGGAAGGCACUAAGGAGGGAACUGCUGACUUUAAAAGUUUUCAAAGAAGGAGUCUAAUCAUUGGAAUGAGCCUUCUGGGGUGCUGAAGCCUAAAACAGAUGAUCAGGUCAGGUCAUGCUAUAGGAAAUAGCAAACCAUGAACAUCAUGGAGCUUCCAAGAAGGCCCUCCCAGAGCCUUUGGGAUGGCAUUUUGUGGUCUGAGAGGGUGAAGUAAAGAGGAACUGGAGAGAGUGAGAAGUGUGAGUGAUGCCUCUACUAGGAGCUUGCAGAUGCUGCUGAAGAACAACAGAACUCCAGUCCUGGCUCUGCUGCUGCUGGCAUGCUGCGUCUUUGGCAAGUUAAGAUGUCCUGCAAGGAAUCUCAGCUUCAUCAGAACUGACAUGAAUAUCCCACUGAGAAGUUUUGACUUUUACUUACUGACAUUGAUUGAAAAUGACAUGACGGGAAAUCCCUGAUGAACUCUAGAUGCCUCAUUCACAGACACUGAGGAUUCAUAAUGAUUUGACUGCAAACAAGAGAUCGCAGGCUGCCUCCAGGAAUUGCCAGACAAUCAUUUUUCAAAUUACUUUUCUAAAGACAGAAGGAACAAAACCCCACACUUGUUCUUAGUGCACCUUUUACUUAAUGAACCCAAUGGCAAACAAAUUAAAACAAAUUAAUAAGACAAAAUAUCACAAGUCAUCUCAAAUUAUUUUUUUUUCACUGAAAUGAGGUGCACAAUGGAUUCUAUAAAAUCCAUACAAUGAUUACUACUCACUUUUAUGUCAACCAACUUAAGAAAUGAAGAAAAUCGAUAGUGUGCAUCAGAGAGAAUGUCUGAGAACUGGAACACUGAAGCUGGAACAGUUUUACACUAGCAAAGUAAGAGAAGAAUCAAGUGCUGUAAAACUUUCUAAAGCUAAAAUGAUGUUUUCUGGACCUUGGACUAAUUUAUAUUGUUAUUGGAUUGCUUAUAGCAAAG